rnacentral:sRNA from 1 species
AGGAAAGAACCUAAAGGAGAACUCCAAUGGCUGACAGAGGACCAACAGUAGUCAACACAGGGGGCA